GGAAACAUGCUUAUAUAUUUGGUACAAGAGAAAAAAGAAACUCAACCUAUAUAAUUGGGACGGAGGGAGUAUUGGAUUGGAUAAUAUUAAAAAAUUUCAAUUAAUAUAUAAGUGCACUAAAACGUAAAUCUCAUAUUAACUAUCAAGUUUUCAUUUCAAAAAUCACCAAUUUUGACAAAUUCUAAAAGAUUCCAUAAGUCCAUGGAUGAGGAAAUCCCCCCAAUGGUCACUAAACUUUGUAGAAAAUUUCUAGGAGGUCAUCGAAUUUCAAUACGUCCCUAAAUAGUUACUGAACUUUACCGAAGUCCCCCAAGAGGUUAAUGAACUUUAAAACGUCCCUAAAUGGUCACUGAACUUUGUCGAAAUCCCCUAGAGAGAUCAUUCAACGUUGCAAAUUGGGACCCCAAACAUAGCUAGUUUAGUGACCUCCCAGGGUUUUUUAUAAAGUUCAGUAACCAUUCGGGAACAUUUUAAAAUUCGGUGACUUUUUGGGAGAUUUCGAAAAAGUUCAGUGACCAUUCAAAGACGUAUUGAAGUUCGGUGACCUCCUAGGGAAUUUUCUGCAAAGUUCAAUGACUAUUGGGGAUUUCCUCAUCCAUGGAUACUAAAAGUUUCCAUUUCCAAAAUCCCCGAUUUUCACAAAAUCCUCAAUUUUCACAGAUUCCAUAGUCCACAUAAAUGAUAUCACAUAUUCUCAAAUACUAAUGAGAGGCUCACAACUCACAACUCAUAGAUAAACUCACAGUAAAUUCUCAUAAAACAUAAACUCAUAAAUUCAUAAUUUAUAACUGAUUAAUUUAAUUGAUAACUCAUAAUUUCAUAAUAAUAAAUCAAUAAACGAACUAGAAGAACAAAAACCAAAAAAUUUAAAAAAAAAAUGAAGAAAGGCACGAGGCUCACCGCUUACUUCACGCCAUCACGAGUGGAAUCAGUUACCAGCAAUGCAGUGGUUAUGUAGUGCUACAGUGGCCGGUGGCUCAACAUCGAGGACCCGAUGGUGGCUCAGCGUGAGUGCCAACAGCGGAGAAUAGGGUUUAGAAAUUGGAAUUGGAUGGAAUUGUUUGAUUUCAGGGUUGAAGUGCCGAGUACAUUUGUGGCUCUUUGUGUGUGAUUUGUGAAGUGAAUAAAAUCAGCAAACCAAACAGGCUUUGCAUCUUCAAUCCAUUGGGUUGAGUAAUUGGGCCAAAUAUUUUUUCUACGCUUCAAUCUUUGUCCAUGGCAGCACGACAACUGUAGGUUCCGAUGGAGCCAGCACACCUGGCUAUGUACCCAUGUUGGGUGUUGGCUCGGCUCUUCACCAGCCUCUAACAUGGGGGCGAAUUUAGAAAUUUUUG
rnacentral:lncRNA from 1 species